rnacentral:rRNA from 1 species
UACGUAGGGAGCAAGCGUUGUCCGGAAUCAUUGGGCGUAAAGAGCUCGUAGGCGGCUUGUCACGUCGGAUGUGAAAGCCCGAGGCUUAACCUCGGGUCUGCAUUCGAUACGGGCUAGCUAGAGUGUGGUAGGGGAGAUCGGAAUUCCUGGUGUAGCGGUGAAAUGCGCAAAUAUCAGGAGGAACACCGGUGGCGAAGGCGGAUCUCUGGGCCAUUACUGACGCUGAGGAGCGAAAGCGUGGGGAGCGAACAGG